GAUACAAUGCGAGUGCCAUUUUCCAGUGGUCAGGUUUAAACGGAGACGAGCAAAAAAAAUUUGAAAAGUUAAGAAAUCUGCCAAAAUGAGGAGCUUCAUCAUCAUCACUGUGCUGUCAGCACUCGCAGCCAGCUAUUGUACUGCCGACGUCUGGAGCGAGAAAGAGAUGCAAGAACGCUACAACAUUAUGUACAACGAAGAAUCAACCAAUGGAAAAAUGGUGUCUGACGCAGCGCUUAAUGAAAUAAUAUCUAAGAAUUUGACAAUAAUAGCUCAAUGGAACUGUCAAACUCCUGCGCAACCCAAUAAGGUACAGCGUGUCGGUGUAGUAUAUGACGGCCCUCCUGAUAAUAAAAUUAUCCUUUUCAUUGUAACUGCUCACAAGCCUUUACCAAAGAUAGAUUAUCACUACUCGUCAUUGCAUGCUAUUUCCAUUAAUAUAACGGCUCCUAUUGGUCUAAGAAUCAACUCUACGGUAUAUGUGUGCGGCGUUGUAGAACAAAACUAAGACUGGUUUAAAAAUUGUGACGUCUGGCAUUAAAAAGUAUAUUUGCUGUCUCAGUACCCAUAGGUAUGUUCU